rnacentral:rRNA from 1 species
AAUAUUGCACAAUGGGCGCAAGCCUGAUGCAGCCAUGCCGCGUGUGUGAAGAAGGUCUUCGGAUUGUAAAGCACUUUCAGUGGGGAGGAAAAGAUAUGAGUUAAUACCUCAUAUCCGUGACGUUACCCACAGCAAGAAGCACCGGCUAACUCCGUGCCAGCAGCCGCGGUAAUACGGAGGGUGCGAGCGUUAAUCGGAAUUACUGGGCGUAAAGCGCGCGUAGGCGGUCAUGCAAGUGGAAGGUGAAAUCCCCGGGCUUAACCUGGGAACUGCUUUUCAAACUGCAUGACUAGAAUGUGACAGAGGUGAGUGGAAUUUCCUGUGUAGCGGUGAAAUGCGUAGAUACAGGGAGGAACAUCAGUGGCGAAGGCGACUCACUGGGUUAACAUUGACGCUGAGGUGCGAAAGCGUGGGUAGCGAACAGGAUUAGAUACCCUGGUAGUCCAUGCCGUAAACGAUGUCUGCUAGCCGUUGGUUCCCUUAGUGGAAUAAGUGGUGAAGUUAACGCGAUAAGCA